GAACCCCAACAACAGAACGGUGUGGAGGUAACCCCAACAACAGAACGGUGUGGAGGUAACCCCAACAACAGAACGGUGUGGAGGUAACCCCAACAACAGAACGGUGUGGAGGUAACCCCAACAACAGAACGGUGUGGAGGUAACCCCAACAACAGAACGGUGAGUUAACAGAACGGUGUGGAGGUAACCCCAACAACAGAAUGGUGUGGAGGUAACCCCAACAACAGAACGGUGUGGAGGUAACCCUAACAACAGAACGGUGUGGAGGUAACCCCAACAACAGAUCGGUGUGGAGGUAACCCCAACAACAGAACGGUGUGGAGGUAACCCUAACAACAGAACGGUGAGUUAACAGAACGGUGUGGAGGUAACCCCAACAACAGAACGGUGAGUUAACAGAAUGGUGUGGAGGUAACCCCAACAACAGAACGGUGUGGAGGUAACCCUAACAACAGAACGGUGUGGAGGUAACCCUAACAACAGAACGGUGAGUUAACAGAACGGUGUGGAGGUAACCCCAACAACAGAACGGUGAGUUAACAGAAUGGUGUGGAGGUAACCCCAACAACAGAACAGUGUGGAGGUAACCCUAACAACAGAACGGUGUGGAGGUAACCCUAACAACAGAACGGUGUGGAGGUAACCCCAACAACAGAACGGUGUGGAGGUAACCCCAACAACAGAACGGUGUGGAGGUAACCCCAACAACAGAACGGUGUGGAG
ensembl:lncRNA